rnacentral:rRNA from 1 species
GUGGGGAAUCUUGCGCAAUGGGCGAAAGCCUGACGCAGCCAUGCCGCGUGAAUGAUGAAGGUCUUAGGAUUGUAAAAUUCUUUCACCGGGGACGAUAAUGACGGUACCCGGAGAAGAAGCCCCGGCUAACUUCGUGCCAGCAGCCGCGGUAAUACGAAGGGGGCUAGCGUUGCUCGGAAUUACUUGGCGUAAAGGGCGCGUAGGCGGACAGUUUAGUCAGAGGUGAAAGCCCAGGGCUCAACCUUGGAAUUGCCUUUGAUACUGGCUGUCUUGAGUACGGGAGAGGUGAGUGGAACUCCGAGUGUAGAGGUGAAAUUCGUAGAUAUUCGGAAGAACACCAGUGGCGAAGGCGACUCACUGGCCCGUUACUGACGCUGAGGCGCGAAUGCGUGGGGAGCAAACAGGAUUAGAAACCCUAGUAGUCC